AGAGUUUGAUCAUGGCUCAGAUUGAACGCUGGCGGCAGGCCUAACACAUGCAAGUCGAACGGUAACAGGAAACAGCUUGCUGUUUCGCUGACGAGUGGCGGACGGGUGAGUAAUGUCUGGGAAACUGCCUGAUGGAGGGGGAUAACUACUGGAAACGGUAGCUAAUACCGCAUAACGUCGCAAGACCAAAGAGGGGGACCUUCGGGCCUCUUGCCAUCAGAUGUGCCCAGAUGGGAUUAGCUAGUAGGUGGGGUAACGGCUCACCUAGGCGACGAUCCCUAGCUGGUCUGAGAGGAUGACCAGCCACACUGGAACUGAGACACGGUCCAGACUCCUACGGGAGGCAGCAGUGGGGAAUAUUGCACAAUGGGCGCAAGCCUGAUGCAGCCAUGCCGCGUGUAUGAAGAAGGCCUUCGGGUUGUAAAGUACUUUCAGCGGGGAGGAAGGGAGUAAAGUUAAUACCUUUGCUCAUUGACGUUACCCGCAGAAGAAGCACCGGCUAACUCCGUGCCAGCAGCCGCGGUAAUACGGAGGGUGCAAGCGUUAAUCGGAAUUACUGGGCGUAAAGCGCACGCAGGCGGUUUGUUAAGUCAGAUGUGAAAUCCCCGGGCUCAACCUGGGAACUGCAACUGAUACUGGCAAGCUUGAGUCUCGUAGAGGGGGGUAGAAUUCCAGGUGUAGCGGUGAAAUGCGUAGAGAUCUGGAGGAAUACCGGUGGCGAAGGCGGCCCCCUGGACGAAGACUGACGCUCAGGUGCGAAAGCGUGGGGAGCAAACAGGAUUAGAUACCCUGGUAGUCCACGCCGUAAACGAUGUCGACUUGGAGGUUGUGCCCUUGAGGCGUGGCUUCCGGAGCUAACGCGUUAAGUCGACCGCCUGGGGAGUACGGCCGCAAGGUUAAAACUCAAAUGAAUUGACGGGGGCCCGCACAAGCGGUGGAGCAUGUGGUUUAAUUCGAUGCAACGCGAAGAACCUUACCUGGUCUUGACAUCCACGGAAGUUUUCAGAGAUGAGAAUGUGCCUUCGGGAACCGUGAGACAGGUGCUGCAUGGCUGUCGUCAGCUCGUGUUGUGAAAUGUUGGGUUAAGUCCCGCAACGAGCGCAACCCUUAUCCUUUGUUGCCAGCGGUCCGGCCGGGAACUCAAAGGAGACUGCCAGUGAUAAACUGGAGGAAGGUGGGGAUGACGUCAAGUCAUCAUGGCCCUUACGACCAGGGCUACACACGUGCUACAAUGGCGCAUACAAAGAGAAGCGACCUCGCGAGAGCAAGCGGACCUCAUAAAGUGCGUCGUAGUCCGGAUUGGAGUCUGCAACUCGACUCCAUGAAGUCGGAAUCGCUAGUAAUCGUGGAUCAGAAUGCCACGGUGAAUACGUUCCCGGGCCUUGUACACACCGCCCGUCACACCAUGGGAGUGGGUUGCAAAAGAAGUAGGUAGCUUAACCUUCGGGAGGGCGCUUACCACUUUGUGAUUCAUGACUGGGGUGAAGUCGUAACAAGGUAACCGUAGGGGAACCUGCGGUUG
rnacentral:rRNA from 1 species